GUUUAUUAUUGUAUAUUUGUUUGGAAUUUCAUUUAUCUUUUUGCAUAACUCCGGGUCAUCGACACCAAGCUUUGUUGUCAUUUCUUUCGAGGAAUUAAAUGCUUUCUCUGAAUCUUUAAGUUCUUUCCACGAGCAGAACAGUACAGGUGCGGAUAUAUUUGUGCAAGCUCAGCUAUUCGACGCAGUGUAUUCAGGGGAUGUGGUUCUAUGCUUGGACCUCUGUAGAAUGAGAAACAAACCUGGGAAAAAAAUUGCACGUCAAAGAAGGUGGAGUUUCAGAACACACCCAUCUAUUGCGUAACCGCCACGGAUCAAUGUAAGCUCAAAUGUGUCUAGGAGCCAAAACAAACUCCCCCAGAGAGUUCGCUUUGGUUUGCAGUUUCGAACUGCCGAAACGAACUCAAAACGAACUUCGUUUCGGCCUGAUUUUGUUUGAAAUGGAGUCAUAUCAGUUCUUGCUUUGAUUUCGUUUGAAGUAUAUCGGGGCCUUUACACAUGCAAACUGUGUGGAAAGAGUUUUUGUCAAGAAGGAAACCUCAAAGUCCACAUGAGUGUUCACACUGGAGACUUUUCAACUGCCAACAAUGUGGUAAAAGUUUCACUAUAAAUGGAAACCUUAAAGUCUACAUGAGAAUUUACAAAGGAGAAAAGCCAUUCAUAUGCUCUAAGUGUGGAGUUUCUGUCAAAAAGGAAACCUCAAAGGCCACAUGAGUGUUCACACUGGAAGAGAGCCUUUUCAACUGCCAACGUGGAAAGAGUUUCAUAACCGCACAAAGAUUCACUCAAUAGAACAGUUUAAUUUGUUGUCAGUGUGAAAGGUGUUUCACAGCCAGGAAGCUCUGCAGCAACCGUGUAAUAAGAAAGAAGCCUUUCACUUGCUGUCAUUGUGGAAAAUCUGGCUCAGACGAAGCAAACCUUGGGAUUAACAUGAGAAUUCACCGUGAAGAGAACCCUUUCAUAUGCCAUCACUGAGGAAAGAUUUAGUUCUGAAUAAAACUUUUUUUGGUGUAAACAAAAAACAAAACACAAAAAUAGUAAAAGCCAGGCCCAGUACUCUUUAUUUAUGUUACCUCCCUGACCCUAUACUGGGGUCGUAACAAAUAAGUUUAUUAUUUUAGCAGAACAUUGUUUUCUAACAUACUUACCUUACUUACGUAAUUUAAGGGGUUUUGCAGAAGGAAUAUAGUCAUUUUUACCUUUUGUUAAAGUGCCGACAUUUGCCCGAUCUCUAUUAAAAGUUAGCAUGCUUGUUUGGAAUCAUAUGAUACAUGAGCUUACGUAAAUUUGUGAGCUAACCCAUUUUUUUAAGUUUUUGUUUAAACUUUUUAAAUUCACUUCAAAGCUGUGUUUUUUGAGAUACACAAAUGUCCUCAUAAGACAGUCGUAGCACCUUGGACAAAGACACUGCAGCUGUUUCCCAAAGUGUAGUGCGCGGACUUCGAAGACCACACCUCCGAAGUGCAAAAGGAACCUUCAAAGUGCAUGAGAUGCUCUGCCUUCGCAGGAUUUCCUAAUUCAGCCACCAGUUGUUCCCGAUUGCCACUCCUGUCACAUAGCAACGGUGCGAGAGGACAGUUGCCAUCCUGACAGGAUUAGUCAUUGAAAAAAACUUUUGGAGCCAGCAUUGCUGUUUUUAUAUUUUACACUGUGAUGGUGGGAAUCCUUCACCUCUGGGUGAACCGGGUGAUGUACCUAAGUCUUAGCCAAGACCGUGCCUAGAUCAGACCUCUGUCCUGCAGGAUAAACCUGAAUAUGCCAGAGCUGGACAGGUUUUUUAAUGACUGACACAUGGCCUGAUUUUUGGUUGAGCAGGGAGGCCCUGAUAUCUGGAUCUUCUGGGAAGUGAAUAGCAACACGGAUGGGGUGCUACAAUCAAGACCCUGGUGUUUCUUUUCUGGCUGGCGUGUGGUACAUAAUACAUAGUGGUCUCAAGAGUGUUUGACAUGCCUCGUUCCAUUGUUCACCAAGUUGCUGAGGAGAUGGUGGCAAUUCGCCACAAAGUGAUUCACCUCCUGAAGGCCUGGAGGCAGUUUGCUGUGGGUCUGCAGGGCUGGCAAGACACAGAGCUUGUAUUUUAAUGUAUAUUGUAUUUUAUAUUAUAAUGUAUUUGUUAAGCAUUCUCUCAAGAAGAGAAAACAGUCUUUCCAUUCUCUCCUUGCUCGCCUGUGUUCUUCUCUCCUCUGUCUCUCUCUGGAUUUUGAUGUCCUCCCUGAGUUGCUCCACAAGCUUCCCCUCUCUCCCUAACUUGCAAUCCUAAGGCAAAGCAAAUAAACCAUGGCUGUUAACAACAACAGCACAAUGAA